CCUCUUACCUUCUUCUAUCAUGAGCUAAACACAUCUCCUCUUUGUGUUAAUCGCCUGAAAGACCUUGAAAUGCUUGCUUUAGUCCUGAUGCGUUAUCACUGUUUUAUGUCAAAUUAAUUGGUUUUAUUUAUUUUGCCUGUCAAAUUUGAUGACUAAAUUGCAAGUUACUUAGUUGUUAAGUAUAUUAAUUAUUAAAACAGUGUUUUAGCUGUAGACUUUCUUGAGACAUCUAGAAGGCACUGACUGCCCCCGACAAGCUUGGUUGGUUUGGUAAUGGACUAGCCGGAAUUGGCUGGGUGCAACUUGGACUGGUUAGGUUAAUUUGGCUAAGGGUUAACCCACACCAAAUAAAGAAUCUCUAUUACAAUUCACCGUUGUUGAGUUCACGCGCACCGGAUUGGAUCGACUUAAGCUUUUGAUCUAAAAUCUAAUCUCUUUGAGAUAAUUCACCAAACAUAUUGCAGACAUAAAUAAACAAAAACAAAAAAAUCAAGAUUUACGUGGUUCGACACAAGAGGCCUACAUCCACGGGGAGGAGGAGCAAUCCACUAUAAAUCCGUUCCGAAAAAUAGGUACAAUAUGAGGUAUAAAAUACCUUUAUCCGAAACCAACAAGAAAGCAACAAAGUAUCGAAUAGAAGGCAAUCAAGAUCCAAUCGGAUCUACCAAUCUCAGCCUCGGCAAUAGAUCAAGGUAAAAUAAUAUCUGAGAUGAAGAUAUCUUUCUCAAUCCUCGGCAAAAAAUCAAGAUGAAUACCUCCUUACCAACCGAAGCAGUACAGGGCAUCCGUGAAACCGAGAAAGAAGAAGACAGGUAGACCACCAACAGAACACCAACGGGAGAAAGCCAGGAAGCAACCCGCACAAGAGUACAAGCGGGAGAAAAUCAGGAAGCAGACCCGCACAGGAGCACAAGCGGGAGAAAACCAGAAAGCAGGCCCGUACAAGAACACCAGCGGGAGAAAGCUAAAUCGCACAAGAAACCCUGGAACCUCCUCCGCACACUCGAACCCGCACACCAAAGAAGGAUGUCGCGGCCUCCUAUUUAAAGAAAAAAUCAAUCUCCUCAAAAUAGAGAUUCACUCGAAUCAGAAUUCCAAACUGUGACGGGAGAUAGACAAGGAAAGAAUAAUUUUGGAGCAAUAUAAAUAUAUAACAACCGUCUUGGUACUAAACCAUAAAUUUGGUACCAUCUUCUUAUAAUGUAGAAUGUCCGUAUGAUAUGGUAUACAGUAUUGAUAUGGUAUGGGAUGGUACGAUAAAUACUCAAUCUUAGAUCUAUUCUAACUUCACAAAUUGGAACCAUCUCAAACUUGAUCUAGCUCAAUUUCUAAUUUCUAACUCGAAAAUCACCCAUUUAGGUUCACCCGGGGCGCAUCAAGUUGGGUGUACUUCAGGAAAAGAUUUUUAUAGACCUAGUAGCAUACAUGCCAAUUUAGGGUGGGUCAGGUCAUAGGUGGAAUAGAAUAUAGGAUAGUCAGGAUGAGUCAGAAUGCCCAAGGCUUAAUCCAUCAAUUUGGUUCAAUAUUUAUUUAGCUAGAGCAAUGUAUAUGCCUGAUCUGACCCAAACCGAGUUAAAGUAGGUGGGACCAUGUUGAGAUUCUAGUACUGGAGCAAGGUCUGCUCCAGUUUGUCCUGGCUUGGUCUAGAAAUCUAGAAAUUACUCGAAGGCACCAAACACAAACAGUCCAAGGGCUACUCUUUUGAUGGUUUGUGAGGCCUCGAAAUAGGGCCUAGUUAGGCUUCUGUAGUUAGAUUAUCUUUUCUGAUCCCAUUCAAGCUUCAACUUCCUAACUAGCUCUGCUUCCGGCUAGAGAACCUAUUUCUAAGCCUGAUCUUUGAUCUGUUCAGCUUCAAGGUUCCUAAACUGAAGUCCAAACUCCAAAUUCUAGAGAUCCAGCCGAGACAAAAUAGAUUAAUUGGGACGAAGUUUUGUUCAAAGUAUAGGUUGUUAACUUCCCAUUGAGACUGAUCAAAAAGGUGCAGCCAAGAUUGGAUGCCUUUGUUAUGUACAUGGUCGACCUGGAUGCCCAUGACCUAACCCCGAGACCAUUUGUUAUCUCAGGCUACGACACUAGCUGCACCAACAUUACAACCUAAAGACUGCAAGUUAGGGGCCGACUGGUCUCUAGCCCUUGUUCUUAUGUGAAUCCGACCACAACCAAAAAGGUAGGCCAAUGGGUUAGGCUUCGGAUUCAAAUUGGUUCGUCAUUUUUUUUUUUUUUUGUUUAUUCAAGGAAUUCACAAAAAUCUAUCAUGAAUUUUGACAUAUUGAAUCUAUGUGUAAAGAAGCAAACAGUGCCGCAGAUUGAAGCGAAGUUAUAUGGCUAACCCAUGGGGUUCUUCUGCAUGCCUUCCACAGUAUUUUUUUUUUAAAUAUAUUUUUUUAGAUUUUGAUGGAUGUACUUACACUUGUUUUAAAUGAUUAAUUCAUCUGUUCUACACCCAAAAAAAA